UUGAUAUGGAAUAUUAAACGGAGUCCAAACGGAAUAAAAUCUCCGAAGAAUUUAGAAUAUAGUAAAUAUUACAUCAAUAUAAAUAAAGAGUGAGUUCACAAUAGUACCUAAGUGGUGAUUUAUCUUUCUUACACUAACGCAUCUCAUGAGUUUUCUGUUGUGAAGUUUUCGAGUUUUGGGUAAACAUUUGAUGGACUAUGGAAUAACGAGUGG
rnacentral:lncRNA from 1 species